UACAGAGGUCUCGAGCGUUUGUUCGGAUUCAUUGGGCGUAAAGGGCGCGUAGGCGGCGGGGUAAGUCUGGUGUGAAAUCUCGGAGCUCAACUCCGAAAUUGCACUGGAUACUGCUCUGCUGGAGGGCUGGAGAGGAGAUCGGAAUUCACGGUGUAGCAGUGAAAUGCGUAGAUAUCGUGAGGAACACCAGUGGCGAAGGCGGCGAUCUGGGGAAGAUACUGACGCUGAGGUGCGAAAGCGUGGGGAUCAAACAGG
rnacentral:rRNA from 1 species